rnacentral:rRNA from 1 species
GACGAACGCUGGCGGCGUGCUUAACACAUGCAAGUCGAACGAUGAAGCCUAGCUUGCUAGGUGGAUUAGUGGCGAACGGGUGAGUAAUACGUGAGUAACCUACCUUUAACUCUGGGAUAAGCCUGGGAAACUGGGUCUAAUACCGGAUACGACCAAUCUCCGCAUGGGGUGUUGGUGGAAAGCGUUAUGUAGUGGUUAUAGAUGGGCUCACGGCCUAUCAGCUUGUUGGUGAGGUAACGGCUCACCAAGGCGACGACGGGUAGCCGGCCUGAGAGGGUGACCGGCCACACUGGGACUGAGACACGGCCCAGACUCCUACGGGAGGCAGCAGUGGGGAAUAUUGCACAAUGGGCGCAAGCCUGAUGCAGCGACGCCGCGUGAGGGAUGACGGCCUUCGGGUUGUAAACCUCUGUUAGCAGGGAAGAAGAGAAAUUGACGGUACCUGCAGAGAAAGCGCCGGCUAACUACGUGCCAGCAGCCGCGGUAAUACGUAGGGCGCGAGCGUUGUCCGGAAUUAUUGGGCGUAAAGAGCUUGUAGGCGGUUUGUCGCGUCUGCUGUGAAGGCCGGGGCUUAACCCCGUGUAUUGCAGUGGGUACGGGCAGACUAGAGUGCAGUAGGGGAGACUGGAAUUCCUGGUGUAGCGGUGGAAUGCGCAGAUAUCAGGAGGAACACCGAUGGCGAAGGCAGGUCUCUGGGCUGUAACUGACGCUGAGAAGCGAAAGCAUGGGGAGCGAACAGGAUUAGAUACCCUGGUAGUCCAUGCCGUAAACGUUGGGCACUAGGUGUGGGGGACAUUCCACGUUUUCCGCGCCGUAGCUAACGCAUUAAGUGCCCCGCCUGGGGAGUACGGCCGCAAGGCUAAAACUCAAAGAAAUUGACGGGGGCCCGCACAAGCGGCGGAGCAUGCGGAUUAAUUCGAUGCAACGCGAAGAACCUUACCAAGGCUUGACAUAUACUGGACCGCAUCAGAGAUGGUGUUUCCCUUCGGGGCUGGUAUACAGGUGGUGCAUGGUUGUCGUCAGCUCGUGUCGUGAGAUGUUGGGUUAAGUCCCGCAACGAGCGCAACCCUCGUUCUAUGUUGCCAGCACGUUAUGGUGGGGACUCAUAGGAGACUGCCGGGGUCAACUCGGAGGAAGGUGGGGAUGACGUCAAAUCAUCAUGCCCCUUAUGUCUUGGGCUUCACGCAUGCUACGAUGGCCGGUACAGAGGGUUGCGAUACUGUGAGGUGGAGCUAAUCCCUAAAAGCCGGUCUCAGUUCGGAUUGGGGUCUGCAACUCGACCCCAUGAAGUCGGAGUCGCUAGUAAUCGCAGAUCAGCAACGCUGCGGUGAAUACGUUCCCGGGCCU